GGGCACAGCAGUAGGCGUUCCCCGCGCCAACCGCCCAAGUUUCCUCACACCGACCGGGUGCGAGCCCUGUGUCCCUCCUGGUAUCCGAGGGCGUCAGAUCUGCCUCUUCCUUAGUCUUUUGUUCCCUUUCCAGCCAAAAGGGAGCCCCUACCAGCAGGGUCAGCACUUGGAUCUACACUCCACAUGCAAAGUCAUUGCUGCUGCCUAAGCAGCCAGUUGGAAGCAGGGGGUUUCCCUCCUACUUGUAAGCAUGCACCCUGCCAUGAAGGCUCAUGCAUGCUUGCACGUUUCUGUCAGCUGCAGACUGGAGGUGAAUGAAGUUUCGCAUGGGUGAAUUAUCUCCCAAGCAGCAGCAUAAAGAACAUUUCAGCUACAGGCCACCUCGUUAGUGACCUAUACUGGCUUGCGCCACGAUAACAUAAUUAAAAAACUCAUUCCUACAUUACUAUUCAUUUCAAAAAAUGUCUUUCAAGAGGUCCAAUGCAAACUAUAGUCAAACUUCCUUAAAAAUUGCAUUUCUUCCUAAGAAAAGAAGGGAGAAUAUCCUAUUCAUGCACCGAUCUCUGCAGUAAAUAUGCUGCAUAUUAAAAAAAAAAAGGAAAAUUACAUAACCAGUUUUAACAUUAUUUUCUUGUGCUAGGAAUUAAGUCAUCGCCACCACCUGACGCGCGUAACCAAUCUGCGGAGAGGAGAAGGAGCACCCCCUCCCUCUCCCCAGGACUGGUCCCAAACAGGAUUGAACCGCUUCUAACAAAGGGUGGAAACUUCAGAAAAACAAGCUUAGAGUCCCCUAUACUUUCACAAUGUAACCAUGCGAACAACACAUUAACAAACCGAAGAUCCGCACCCCCCCUCACAAUGUGUUACCCCCUUUUCCAUACCCAAAAUAAGGGAAUUUGCAGAGCACUUUACGUUUCUAUCGGGGCUGGGCAGACCGGGUUUCCAUUGAAUGCAGGUUCCAGAACUCCCUAACUUAGAAACGAUGCUCCGAUUAUACAACUGCGGACUCUUAUUUGGCCUUUUCGGCAGAUCUUUACCUCUCGGUCUCCCACACAGAGGUUUAAUAAGAGAAAUCGGAAGUAAUUUACGAAUUUACUAGUAGUUUAGAGCAAAGGAAGAGGGAGAAAUUACACGUGGGGUGGUGAUAGCAUAUGUCAAAAUAAGCCACGGGGACUCUUCUAUCUGCCAGCAAUGAUCCAUCUUUAAAAAUCAUCACUUAUCAGUCUGAAAAGCAGACCUGUAUCUAGUGUGUCAAAAAGUCUAGUUUUAUGUUUUAAUUAUAUUUCACAAUUUGAUAGGCUGUCUCCAGGAAAGUCAUGUACUGCAUCUCUGUUUUUGAUAUUUAUUUUCCCCACAAAAAAAUGUUUUGCCAUUAUCGCUGUGACAAAAUAAUAUUACAUUCCAAAGAUACAGUAUUAAUAAACUGCAAAUCCUUAUGAAAAAGCUCCGUUAAAGGGCAGGUAGUUUAAGAAAGUCCUGUUUGCAGGCACUUUGCAGAUGCAUCUCAGUACAGUUUUAACAUUAAGUAAACGUCCAUAUAAUGGAACAGAAAUCUCAAGAAGGUACUCUGCGUUUCCUCAUCUUCAGAAAUAUUGGAUCUUAGGGGCUACAUAUUAAAAAGCAAUAAAGCAAGACAAAGCAAAGAUGCGUCCUUUUCCAGAAAAAUGUCUGCAUAUAAUGAACUAAAAAUGUUCAGCAGUGUCCUUCUGGUACGUUAGGACUUCUUAUGUUUUUGCACCAUCUUGUGUGUUCCUUUUGUUCUCACAUCUUUAGAUGCAGAUGGCGUCAUACAACCGUUCAUUUGCAAAUUUUUCCUUCUUUUCUGCGAAGUAGAAGAUAAUCUUUUCUUCCACAGUCACAGAUCCCACCAUCCCACCGCUUUGUGUCUUUGGAUUUGCUAUAGGACGUAUGAAAACUAACAGCUAAACGGGACGCUACUUCUAUGCCUCCCUCCAUGGAGUUUAGGCAGGAAAGUCCUGACUGCUGUCCUUCAGGUUCUCCGUUCAUUGUCACCUUGUACCUCUGUCAGUGUGGAUCUGCAAAGAUUUGAAGGGCACAGCAGUUACCUUCUGCAGACCAGUUAAGAUCUGUGAAGGUUAAAGACUCAAGUGGAUAUUCAUAUGGAUGUUUUUUUGUGUACUUGUUGAUAAUGAAGAGGAAUUUCUUACACAAUUGAAAUAUGGCAUAUGAUGUUUUCUCAUUUAUUUUCUCAUAUAGAUGGCAUAUGUUGUAUACUUACUAGAUUUGCACAUUCCAUGCUUGUUGGAGAAGAUAAAAUGUUUUGUUAAGUUGAUGCAGGCCCCUCUUCCUGGAUAUGAUCUACAGACAGCGUAGCCCUAACUUGUCUCCCCGACCAGUAGGAUGGCUGUCUUUUGCCAAGCCAUUUCUGGAUAUGCAAGAAUAACAUAGCUGCUGUCAUGACAUGGGAUACGUUCGAAGCCUUUCGUAUGAGUAGGCUGUUGGGAAGAUCCUGCUACUUUUGAGCUUGUGGGCGAAGUUCUUGUAUGUUAGAUUUGACCAACUUGCAGACAGUUGAAGUCCUGAUCAUAUGUCAUACUGGAGAGCAGACAGCUCUUUCCAGUUCCUGGAUUAUUAUCUGGAGAAAAAUGCAGUGGAGAGUAACCCUCCUUCUCAGACAUAUUGGGCAUGCUGAGAAUACUGAUAAUCUAAGUUUCAUUGCAAUGGUGAGACAGGUGCAAUUCAUUGCAAUUUCUAUGAAUACUGGAAUAGUUCAGACUUCUUGGAAGUUUUUCUAAACACAGAGAAGUGAGUCCAUUGAAAUUACUGGGACCUUUGGAUAUCCAUGCAAAGCAAAAUUCCUCAGUCUUUGAAGCUCUUUAAUUUCCAUAUAUUGCUAUGCUGUUGUUCUGAGUUAAUUAAAAAAUGAGUGAUCAGAUGUGCUAGUUUACAUGAAAGUGACUCAGUUUUCAAGGCUAGUUCUAAAUUCCUGUUAAAGCUUAGUGGAAAAAAUUAUAAAUCAAUUCCAUAGUAACUGAUCUGUAUGCAGUCAAAGCAUCUGAGCCAAGAUCUACUGUUCUUUGAAAUAAUGACCCUCCUUCUCCUAGUGUCCUACUCAGGAAACUUUCCUCUAUUUUUUUUUUUUUCCUUUAUUCCCUCUUACCUCUUCCCUAAAAAGCAUGAACCUCCUUCCUGCAGCCUCUCACUUCUGUGCCCUUUGGGUAAGGAGAAUGGAUAGGAAACAGCAUUUCCUGUAUCACAACCAGGUGGUUGUAGUGGGCACAAUUACAAAUUCCCAAUUCACGAAGUUUUGCUAUAAAUCUAACAAUAUUUGGUGUGUUAUCUUGAAGUCUUAGAUUUGGGAUUGAUUUGACUACGGUAAGAAUCUCAUCUCAGGUGAACAUAUAUUUAGACCCGAUGAGUUCAGAAAAGAAGCUUUGAAUUCACCAAAUAGCUCAGAAAUCAAGAAAAAUGAAACAAGUUGUUUAUCAGUCUCUCUCAUGCGCGUGCACACACACAUGCGCACACACAUACAAAAGA